CGCCCGGUAGCAUAUGGCGUGCACCUGCUUUCCCUAGAAGGACAUUUCAUUGGAUGUAAUGCGGGAGGCCCCCGUUCGAUUCGGGGCCGGGUGA